rnacentral:lncRNA from 1 species
ACAAUUCUCUAAUAGUUUUCCUGCUGUCUGCAGAAUAAAGGCCCCUUACAAACCGGGCCCAGGCUUCCCUCCGGCGGUAUCAGGUCGCAUCAUCCUCAGUCCUGGUCAGAGGGAGCCGCUCGGUGCCGUCCUCCCUCUCUGCCUUUGCUUGAUCUUCCGCCUGGAAUGCCAUCUCCGACUCUGCGUUUGCCUGGGGUUUCCGGUCCGCCCCUGCGCCAGGUGCCCUAGGACGCCUGCCCUGGAGCCCUCGCCCUAUCCCUUGCCCUAUUUCUGUGAAACUUUCUAUCUCAGUGUGUCAGGAGCGCCGGAAGCGGUUUCUCCGGAGAACUCCGGUCCAAAGAGGACCAGUGAUGUCUUUGGAACUUUCUGGAACUUCCUGACUCUCGCGGCCCCCUCUGCAGCGCACGGAGCAGAGGGUCUAAAGAAGAAGAAGCAGGAAGGAUAAAAGAUUGCUGGGACAACCAGGAAGCACCUGCUCUCUCCACGUGUAGUAAUGCCAAUA